UACGAAGGGGGCUAGCGUUGUUCGGAAUUACUGGGCGUAAAGGGCGCGUAGGCGGUGUGUCAAGUCUGGCGUGAAAGCCCCGGGCUCAACCUGGGAACCGCGCUUGAGACUGGCACGCUCGAGUUCGGGAGAGGAUGGUGGAAUUCCCAGUGUAGAGGUGAAAUUCGUAGAUAUUGGGAAGAACACCGAUGGCGAAGGCAGCCAUCUGGACCGACACUGACGCUGAGGCGCGAAAGCGUGGGGAGCAAACAGG
rnacentral:rRNA from 1 species